rnacentral:tRNA from 1 species
UGGGUUGUAGCUCAGUGGUAGAGUGUUUGCCUUCAAUGCAUGAGGCACCAGGUUCAAUCCUCAGCACUG